UUCUUAAAGGUGUCUGUAGUUAUUCAUUCAUUAUUAUAGUUAUUCACGCAUUUACCUUAUUAUCCAAAUCGAAAAGAUAUGAAUCGUCUUCACGUUGAUCGGCUUCGAAGUCUGUGAUGAUUUCGCCAAUGUAUCUAGCAGACGAUAGUAGGAAAUCAACAGUGAAUCACGUCGUCGAAAAGAUCAUCACACUUACUCGCAGACGUAGGAGCCCUUUGAAAUAGGUUGGGCAGCUCUGACUCCCCAGCCUUUGUUUUCGAUACGGAAAAGAACUAAACGUGAGUUACUUUAAAGAAGUUUACAAUUAUCACUACAAUGACUUGCCUGCAAAAUUGAAGUCGGAUACGAGUUUGCCUUCGUCGUCGUACCAGCAGCGAAAACUGAGACUCGAGCAAUUGCAACCGACUGAGCAGUCACCGACGCACUCGCAAAACUAGGUCGAAACGUCCACCUCUAGUUAUCAGGAGCAAAGCGCAUUCACAAUUGUCCCGACGACUUGCCGUAUGCCUUCAAAUUUUAAAUGAGCAUUGACGUUCACGUCACACCCUUGAUCAAGCAGAAGUGCAACUAUAUCGACUGACCCGGAGUAAGCUGCCCAAUGCAAAGCGACAUUCUGCUCUGCAUCGCGUACGUUAGGAUCUGCCUUACACUGAA